UAUAUAUAUUUCAACAACACUUUUUUUAUACACUUUUACAAACUUAGACAGAAACAAACAGAAUACAUGCAGAGCAUUGGCACAUGUUAUCUGCAUAUGUUACCCUAUUUAAAGGAAUAAACUAAACCCAAUUCGCAAUUCAAGAGGCCGAGAAACCUGCUUUAUCUAAUUUAACAUUCUUAUAUGUCGAUGUGGUAUAGUUCUAGAAUAGUCAACAUUGGUUAACAUUCAGCAAAAGGAUGCCCCAAAUGAAGUGUGUGUAACUUCAGUAGAAAGAAGUUGAAAGAAAACUGCAAUUAGAAAUGAAGUAAGAAUGUUAGAUUAGAUUUCCAUUUUUAAUUCAA
rnacentral:lncRNA from 1 species